UCGAACGAUGAACCCGCUUCGGUGGGGGAUUAGUGGCGAACGGGUGAGUAACACGUGGGCAAUCUGCCCUUCACUCUGGGACAAGCCCUGGAAACGGGGUCUAAUACCGGAUAACACUGCGGACCGCAUGGUCUGUGGUUGAAAGCUCCGGCGGUGAAGGAUGAGCCCGCGGCCUAUCAGCUUGUUGGUGGGGUGAUGGCCUACCAAGGCGACGACGGGUAGCCGGCCUGAGAGGGCGACCGGCCACACUGGGACUGAGACACGGCCCAGACUCCUACGGGAGGCAGCAGUGGGGAAUAUUGCACAAUGGGCGAAAGCCUGAUGCAGCGACGCCGCGUGAGGGAUGACGGCCUUCGGGUUGUAAACCUCUUUCAGCAGGGAAGAAGCGAAAGUGACGGUACCUGCAGAAGAAGCGCCGGCUAACUACGUGCCAGCAGCCGCGGUAAUACGUAGGGCGCAAGCGUUGUCCGGAAUUAUUGGGCGUAAAGAGCUCGUAGGCGGCUUGUCGCGUCGGAUGUGAAAGCCCGGGGCUUAACCCCGGGUCUGCAUUCGAUACGGGCAGGCUAGAGUGUGGUAGGGGAGAUCGGAAUUCCUGGUGUAGCGGUGAAAUGCGCAGAUAUCAGGAGGAACACCGGUGGCGAAGGCGGAUCUCUGGGCCAUUACUGACGCUGAGGAGCGAAAGCGUGGGGAGCGAACAGGAUU
rnacentral:rRNA from 1 species